rnacentral:rRNA from 1 species
UACGGAGGGGGCUAGCGUUGUUCGGAAUACUGGGCGUAAAGCGCGUGUAGGUGGUCACGCAAGUCAGGUGUGAAAGCCCAGGGCUCAACCCUGGAAGUGCACAUGAUACUACGUGGCUGGAGUACUGAAGAGGAGAGCGGAAUUCCCGGUGUAGAGGUGAAAUUCGUAGAUAUCGGGAGGAACACCAGUGGCGAAGGCGGCUCUCUGGGCAGAUACUGACACUGAGACGCGAAAGCGUGGGUAGCAAACAGG